UCGAACGGCAGCACAGCCGGGGCAACCCGGUGGGUGGCGAGUGGCGGACGGGUGAGGAAUACAUGGGAAUCUGCCCUGUCGUGGGGGAUAACGUAGGGAAACUUACGCUAAUACCGCAUACGACCGGAAGGUGAAAGCGGCGGACCGCAAGGCGUCGCGCGACUGGAUGAGCCCAUGUCGGAUUAGCUAGUUGGCGGGGUAAAGGCCCACCAAGGCGACGAUCCGUAGCUGGUCUGAGAGGAUGAUCAGCCACACUGGAACUGAGACACGGUCCAGACUCCUACGGGAGGCAGCAGUGGGGAAUAUUGGACAAUGGGCGCAAGCCUGAUCCAGCCAUGCCGCGUGAGUGAAGAAGGCCUUCGGGUUGUAAAGCUCUUUUGUCCGGAAAGAAAAGCCUUCGGUUAAUACCCGGGGGUGAUGACGGUACCGGAAGAAUAAGCACCGGCUAACUUCGUGCCAGCAGCCGCGGUAAUACGAAGGGUGCAAGCGUUA
rnacentral:rRNA from 1 species